GACGAACGCUGGCGGCGUGCUUAACACAUGCAAGUCGAACGGAAAGGCCCUGCUUUUGUGGGGUGCUCGAGUGGCGAACGGGUGAGUAACACGUGAGUAACCUGCCCUUGACUUUGGGAUAACUUCAGGAAACUGGGGCUAAUACCGGAUAGGAGCUCCUGCUGCAUGGUGGGGUUGGUAAGGUUCGGCGGGUGGGGGUGGACUUCGGGGUUUAGCACCUGGUGGUUGGGUAGUGGGUUACCAAGGCGUUGACGGGUAGCCGGCCCGGGAGGGUGACCGGGCACAUGGGGACUGAGAUAAGGCCCAGACUCCGACGGGAGGAAGCAGUGGGGAAGAUUGCACAAUGGGCGGAAGCCUGAGGCAGCAACGCCGCGUGCGGGAUUACGGCCUUCGGGUUGUAAACCGCUUGCGCCUGUGACGAAGCGGGAGUGACGGUAAUGGGUAAAGAAGCACCGGCUAACUACGUG
rnacentral:rRNA from 1 species